GACGAACGCUGGCGGCGUGCUUAACACAUGCAAGUCGAACGGAACUCUUUGGAUCAAGACUUCGGUCAAGUGAGAUUGAGUUUAGUGGCGGACGGGUGAGUAACGCGUGAGGAACCUGCCUUUCAGAGGGGGACAACAGUUGGAAACGACUGCUAAUACCGCAUAACGCGUAGAGAUCGCAUGGUCUUUACGCCAAAGAUUUAUCGCUGAGAGAUGGCCUCGCGUCUGAUUAGCUAGUUGGUGAGGUAACGGCCCACCAAGGCGACGAUCAGUAGCCGGACUGAGAGGUUGACCGGCCACAUUGGGACUGAGAUACGGCCCAGACUCCUACGGGAGGCAGCAGUGGGGAAUAUUGGGCAAUGGGCGCAAGCCUGACCCAGCAACGCCGCGUGAAGGAAGAAGGCUUUCGGGUUGUAAACUUCUUUUGUCAGGAAGAGUAGAAGACUGUACCUGGCGAAUAAGCCACGGCUAACUACGUGCCAGCAGCCGCGGU
rnacentral:rRNA from 1 species